UGAGCAUAAUACUCGAUAGAUCAUAAUGCCUGGAAUGGUUUAUGGUUGAAAUGAUUCGUUCGCCAUAGGAUGGGACUGCGGCCUAUCAGCUUGUUGGUGGGGUAAUGGCCCACCAAGGCGAUUACAGGUACGGGCUCUGAGAGGAGAAGCCCGGAGAUGGGUACUGAGACACGGACCCAGGCCCUAUGGGGCGCAGCAGGCGAGAAAACUUUGCAAUGUGCGAAAGCACGACAAGGUUAGUCCGAGUGACUUCUGCUAAAGAGAUCUUUUGCAAGUCGUAAAACCACUAGUGAAUAAGGGGUGGGCAAGUUCUGGUGUCAGCCGCCGCGGUAAAACCAGCACCUCAAGUGGUCAGGAGGAUUAUUGGGCCUAAAGCAUCCGUAGCCGGCUUUGUUAGUUUUCGGUUAAAUCCAUGCGCUCAACGUAUGGGCUGCCGAGAAUACUGCAUAGCUAGGGAGUGGGAGAGGUAGACGGUACUCGGUAGGAAGGGGUAAAAUCCUUUGAUCUAUCGAUGACCACCUGUGGCGAAGGCGGUCUACCAGAACACGUUCGACGGUGAGGGAUGAAAGCUGGGGGAGCAAACCGGAUUAGAUACCCGGGUAGUCCCAGCUGUAAACGAUGCAGACUCGAUGAUGCAUUGGCAUAUAGCCAGUGCAGUGUCGCAGGGAAGCCGUUAAGUCUGCCGCCUGGGAAGUACGUACGCAAGUAUGAAACUUAAAGGAAUUGGCGGGGGAGCACCACAAGGGGUGAAGCCUGCGGUUCAAUUGGA
rnacentral:rRNA from 1 species